CAUCUAGGCGGUCAAUCAAGUCGAAGGUGAAAACUUGUGGCUCAACCAUAAGCUUGCCUACGCAACUGAUUAACUAGAGUACUGGAGAGGUGGACGGAACUACACGAGUAGAGGUGAAAUUCGUAGAUAUGUGUAGGAAUGCCGAUGAUGAAGAUAGUUCACUGGACAGAAACUGACGCUGAAGUGCGAAAGCUAGGGGAGCAAACA
rnacentral:rRNA from 1 species